UGGGGAAUAUUGCACAAUGGGCGAAAGCCUGAUGCAGCAACGCCGCGUGAGGGACGACGGCCUUCGGGUUGUAAACCUCUUUUAGCAAGGAAGAAGCGAAAGUGACGGUACUUGCAGAAAAAGCGCCGGCUAACUACGUGCCAGCAGCCGCGGUAAUACGUAGGGCGCAAGCGUUAUCCGGAAUUAUUGGGCGUAAAGAGCUCGUAGGCGGUUUGUCGCGUCUGCUGUGAAAACCCGAGGCUCAACCUCGGGCCUGCAGUGGGUACGGGCAGACUAGAGUGCGGUAGGGGAGAUUGGAACUCCUGGUGUAGCGGUGGAAUGCGCAGAUAUCAGGAAGAACACGAUGGCGAAGCCAGAUCUCUGGGCCGUAACUGACGCUGAGGAGCGAAAGGGUGGGGAGCAAAACAGGGCUUAGAUACCCUGGUAGUCCACCCCGUAAACGUUGGGAACUAGUUGUGGGGUCCAUUUCCACGGAUUCCGUGACGCAGCUAACGCAUUAAGUUCCCCGCCUGGGGAGUACGGCCGCAAGGCU
rnacentral:rRNA from 1 species